rnacentral:rRNA from 1 species
GACGAACGCUGGCGGCGUGCUUAACACAUGCAAGUCGAACGGAAAGGCCCUGCUUUUGUGGGGUGCUCGAGUGGCGAACGGGUGAGUAACACGUGAGUAACCUGCCCUUGACUUUGGGAUAACUUCAGGAAACUGGGGCUAAUACCGGAUAGGAGCUCCUGCUGCAUGGUGGGGGUUGGAAAGUUUCGGCGGUUGGGGAUGGACUCGCGGCUUAUCAGCUUGUUGGUGGGGUAGUGGCUUACCAAGGCUUUGACGGGUAGCCGGCCUGAGAGGGUGACCGGCCACAUUGGGACUGAGAUACGGCCCAGACUCCUACGGGAGGCAGCAGUGGGGAAUAUUGCACAAUGGGCGGAAGCCUGAUGCAGCAACGCCGCGUGCGGGAUGACGGCCUUCGGGUGGUAAGCAGCUUUCGCCUGUGACGAAGCGUGAGUGACGGUAAUGGUAAAGAAGCACCGGCUAACUACGUG